rnacentral:lncRNA from 10 species
CGGGCGCCCCUCCCCCAGCCUCGCUGCGGCCUUGCAGUUUGAUCUCAGACUGCUGUGCUAGCAAUCAGCGAGACUCCGUGGGCGUAGGACCCUCGGCGCCAGGUGCAGGAUAUAAUCUCGUGGUGCGCCGUUUUUUAAGCCCGUCGGAAAAGCGCAGUAUUUGGGUGGGAGUGACCCGAUUUUCCAGGUGCCGUCUGUCACCCCUUUCUUUGACUAGGAAAGGGAACUCUCUGAACCCUUGCACUUCCUGAGUGAGGCAAUGCCUCGCCCUGCUUCAGCUCGCGCACGGUGCACGCACCCACUGACCUGCGCCCACUGUCUGGCACACCCUAGUGAGAUGAACCGGGUACCUCAGAUGGAAAUGCAGAAAUCACCCGUCUUCUGCAUCUCUCACGCUGAGAGCUGUAGACCGCAGCUGUUCCUAUUCGGCCAUCUUGGUUCCUCCUGACUUCAUUUCUUCUUUGCCUUCUUCCAUGAUUGUGAGGCGUCUCCAGCCAUGUGGAACUUUUUGAUAGCAGCAGGGGCCCAUCUGGAGCAGCAACUUCCAUGAUGCCAGCUGCAACAGAGGAGGCACAGCUGGGGCUGAGCACUACAUGGAGCUGGUGACAAGAAGAAGAGAAGAAAGAAGGAGAGAAGAGCUGCAACUGUUCAGGGAACCCAGACUUAGGAGCUCUCUGAGCCAAGGCUGUAACACCUCUUUGGGGUUCUGAGGUUUCUGGCAUCUUCAAGCAACUAUAUUCCCCAGUGCCAGCCAUGGAAGCUGCUUGUGGUAUGCCUGGUCCAGCUGCAGCCUUACAGAGAGCCAGCACCUGCCCCAUCACAGCCAGAGUGCCUGGCUGUGUGCAGUGGCCAGACCCCACGUUUUCUCACUCACACACCACUCACUGCUCUGCUCACCCUUGGCAGGGUUGGGAUCCAGGCCAAUAGUGUAAGCCAAGUGCAACCUGCCAGGCCAAGUGGGCCCGGAGGGCCUGAGCAAAACUCAGGCAAAGGCACCACUGGCCACAGAGGUUUCUGACUGGUGAAACGACACCCCAAGGAUCCCGUAACAAUUUUGCCACAUAUGUAUACACCCUCUAAAAAUAUUGCUUAGUGUUUUAUAUAUUUACCCUGUUUUCUUUUUGAUAGAAUUUGGUAAUUUUCAUAUUUUUAUAACUUUGAGUAAUUUUCAUAUUUUUAUAACAACGAUUUUAUGUACGUGGACUGGAUGCAGCAGCUCACGCCUGUAAUCCUAGCACUUCAGGAGGCCAAGGCAGGAGGAUCACUUGAAGCCAGGAAUUCAAGCCAGCCUAAGCAACAUAACUGGAGCCCAUCUCUACAACAAAAAAUUUCAAAAUCAGCCAGCCCUGAUGGCAAGUGCUUGUAUUCCCAGCUCCUCAAGAGGUUGAGGUGGGAGGAUUGCUUAAGCCUAAAACUUUGAGGUUGUAGUGAGGCAUGCUAGCACCAGUGCACUCCAACCUAGGCAACAGAACAAGAUCCUGUCUCUUACAAAAAAUAAAAAAAUGUGUACAUGAUUCCCAUGUAUAUGUGAAAACAUUUAUCUAGGAAUGGAGAUGCUCCCAGACUAUGCACAUUUUAAACUCCUAGAAAAUGCCCCAAAACUAUCUUCCAAAUGAUGCAUUUAUUCUCUCCCUCGCAGUCUAUAAAAGUUGUCAUUGCAUCACAUUCUCACUAACCAUUGAUACUGUCAGAUAUUUUAAAAUGUUUGCCAUUCUGGAUAUAAAAUGACACCUCAACUGGAUUUCCGGAUUGCUAAUGAGAAAGCUGAUUUUGUCUGCAUGUGAUGGAUUGGCCAGAAAAAGAAAGCCGUAGGCACAGAGGAGGAUCACACGUGAUCAAAAACCACAAAUGGCUUCUUCAUGACACAGGGGCAGGUGAGGCCCCUGAGGCUUGAAGGCUGCUAUACCAUGAAUCAACAUAAAGCAGAGUCCACUUGCUGGACAAAAUGCUAGAUGGUAA